GAUGAACGCUGGCGGCGUGCCUAAUACAUGCAAGUCGAGCGAACAGACGAGGAGCUUGCUCCUCUGACGUUAGCGGCGGACGUGUGAGUAACACGUGGAUAACCUAUCUAUAAGACUGGGAUAACUUCGGGAAACCGGAGCUAAUACCGGAUAAUAUAUUGAACCGCAUGGUUCAAUAGUGAAAGACGGUUUUGCUGUCACUUAUAGAUGGAUCCGCGCCGCAUUAGCUAGUUGGUAAGGUAACGGCUUACCAAGGCGACGAUGCGUAGCCGACCUGAGAGGGUGAUCGGCCACACUGGAACUGAGACACGGUCCAGACUCCUACGGGAGGCAGCAGUAGGGAAUCUUCCGCAAUGGGCGAAAGCCUGACGGAGCAACGCCGCGUGAGUGAUGAAGGUCUUCGGAUCGUAAAACUCUGUUAUUAGGGAAGAACAAAUGUGUAAGUAACUAUGCACGUCUUGACGGUACCUAAUCAGAAAGCCACGGCUAACUACGUG
rnacentral:rRNA from 1 species